rnacentral:piRNA from 1 species
UAAGAUGGGGACUAUGUCGUAUUCAC